rnacentral:lncRNA from 1 species
UCAGAUGCAAAAGCACAAUCCAGUGGCAGCUCUGGAAGCUCUGUGGGCUCUGAAGAUGAAGAUGAAGGUGAAGGUGAUACUUCUUCCUCUGAUUGAUGGUUCCCCCUCUUGUUUGUUAAAGACUGAAGACUGUAUGAGGUGUGCUGUGAAGACUGUGAAGCUGUUGUGGGUGAUGUUCUGCUGGUGCUGUAUGGAUGCUGAAGUUUUGUUUUUU